AGAUGCGAUCAUACCAGCACUAAUGCACCAGAUCCCAUCUAAACUCCGCAGUUAAGCAUGCUUUGGCGAGAGUUGUACUAGGAUGGGUGACCUCGUGGAAAGUCCUCGUAUUGCAUCCC
rfam:Arabidopsis thaliana chromosome 3, complete sequence.